UCCCCUGUGGUGUAGUGGUAGCACGAGAAGCUCUAACCUUCUAAGUCCGGGUUCGAUUCGGUGGCGGGGGGA
rnacentral:tRNA from 1 species